rnacentral:rRNA from 1 species
UAGAGUUUGAUCAUGGCUCAGGAUGAACGCUGGCGGCGUGCCUAACACAUGCAAGUCGAGCGAUUUACUUCGGUAAAGAGCGGCGGACGGGUGAGUAACGCGUGGGUAACCUGCCCUAUACACACGGAUAACAUACCGAAAGGUAUGCUAAUACGAGAUAAUAUAAGAGAUUCGCAUGGAUUUCUUAUCAAAGCUGAGGCGGUAUAGGAUGGACCCGCGUCUGAUUAGCUAGUUGGUAAGGUAACGGCUUACCAAGGCGACGAUCAGUAGCCGACCUGAGAGGGUGAUCGGCCACAUUGGAACUGAGACACGGUCCAAACUCCUACGGGAGGCAGCAGUGGGGAAUAUUGCACAAUGGGCGAAAGCCUGAUGCAGCAACGCCGCGUGAGUGAUGAAGGCCUUCGGGUCGUAAAACUCUGUCCUCAAGGAAGAUAAUGACGGUACUUGAGGAGGAAGCCCCGGCUAACUACGUGCCAGCAGCCGCGGUAAUACGUAGGGGGCUAGCGUUAUCCGGAUUUACUGGGCGUAAAGGGUGCGUAGGUGGUCUCUUAAGUCAGGAGUGAAAGGCUACGGCUUAACCGUAGUAAGCUCUUGAAACUGGGAGACUUGAGUGCAGGAGAGGAAAGUGGAAUUCCUAGUGUAGCGGUGAAAUGCGUAGAUAUUAGGAGGAACACCAGUAGCGAAGGCGGCUUUCUGGACUGUAACUGACACUGAGGCACGAAAGCGUGGGGAGCAAACAGGAUUAGAUACCCUGGUAGUCCACGCCGUAAACGAUGAGUACUAGGUGUCGGGGGUUACCCCCCUCGGUGCCGCAGCUAACGCAUUAAGUACUCCGCCUGGGGAG